CACCUCGAUCUUUUUCUACAUCGAAUCGCAAGGACGACGCGGCCCUCGGAGCCCUUCGCCACCGCCGGUGUCCGAGAGGACCUGCCGCCGUCUUCCCCACCAAGAUCUCCACCCUCUCCCCCGCCAGCGUCAUCCACUCACGUUCUUUCCUUAAAGCGGGGAGGCCCCAGAUCGAGUUGAGCAAGUCAGGGGCCGCCGCCGACGCGGAUCCCCACGAACGAGCCAGCCAUCGCCGCUGCGGUUCCCCACGAACGAGCCAGCCAUCGCCGCCUCGGAUCCCCACGGACGCCGCCGCGGAUCACCACCGUAGCCCUCUCCUUCUCCCCCUCCGUCCUUUGGGGAGAAGAGCUUCUGCGGUAGGUCGUUGUCGGCGGCGGUAUCACACCUCUCACUCGUCUUCUAUCAGAUUGUGCCAGACCAACCAUCAAGUUAUUUUCACCUGGCAACAUGUGCUCGUGAUGCCAUUUGAAUUUUCGAGCAAGUCUCGGUCUUUCCUGGUCCGGCUAUCCAGGCGACAAAUGCCAACUUGGUAGCAGUUAUCGAGCAUGGCUAAGAAGAAGCCAACUUUACACUUUCAUCACAAAGGUGAGAAGGCUAGCGAAGUGGUCCGUGCCAACAUGAAGAAACUUGAAGAUGCCAUUCAUGGAAAUUCUACACAACAAAGAUCUUUUUUCAUCUUUUUUCAUACACUGAUGGCAUCGACGACUACAAUGAGGAGCACAAUAGCAGCAAGUCAGUACCAGCGAGCAGGGAGGAGGGCAACCAGCUUCAAAGCAGACUUCAUCCAGAGAAAGGCACUUAUUCACCGUUACUUUGUAGAUACUCCCUCCAUUCUAAAAUAUAGCGCGCCCGCGCUUCCCGAGGUUGAACUUUGACCAUUUCAACGAACGAGACCGACUGCGGCGGGAGAAAAAAUUACAUAAUUAAAAACUUCUUUCGAAUACAAAUUCACUGAUAUAACUUUUGCUCCCGCCGCAAUCGGUCUUGGCAGUUAAAUUUACGGUCAAAGUUGAAGCAUGGGGAUAGAGGAAGCACUACAUUGUGGAAUGGAGGGAGUAGUACUUAUCCUUUUUAUAGUUUCAAACGAAAUUUUUAUUAUCGAUAAUUAAUAUUCCAAUAAUUCUGAAACUAAUAAACAUUAAUGAGAAAUUUGAAAAAUAGGAAGGACACUAGGAAUAAUAGCGUCCAAUUCUGGGCGUCGGUACCAACAAUGUCCAAGGCUGGACGCUCUUAUAAACAGCGUCGUGUUUGGUUUGACCAGACCCCGCAUGGCUACCUUCGGCCUUUGACUUGUACCCUCAGCCACCUCCACAGGACUAAAACUAGACUCCGUCACCUCUAGCCCGUCGAAAAUGGCGCUUUAACAUUAUUGUGUUUGAUAGUAUGAUGUGUGUUAGCUGAUUGUGAAAAAAAUGUGUUAGCCGAGACAACAUUGUUAUCAGUUAUGUUAGCUUGACGAGUACCAUCUAAUUUUUUUCAAAAGCCCAUGGCAACGCACGCGUAUUCUACCAUCUAAAUUUUUUCAAAAGCUCGUGGCAACGCACGGGCGUUCUACUAGUUUUCAAUAGUGGGCUGGCGAACUAGUAUGAUGGUAAGCUGAAUUAUUGGGCUUCAAAAAAAUCAACUCCUUUGAUUCUUUACGUCGCUGGGCUCGCUACAGGCCUUAAACGCCCAGAAUAGGAGGGGGGGGGCGAAUUAUGCCUAAGGCUGGUCAUAAUGGGAAGUAACUUAUACUAGUGUCAUCUCUAUAGUGCGAAGUAACAUAGUAGUAGUAUCAUAGAUGAUUUUAUUUAUUACCUUGUACACUCAUCCUUUCUCGGAAAGUGCUAUGUUACAGUAAAUAUUAUGUUACUUUAAACACCCCUCUUCUCAUUAACUAUAUGCCACAUAAGUAAAAAAAUGACUAA